GACGAACGCUGGCGGCGUGCUUAACACAUGCAAGUCGAACGGAAAGACCCUGCUUUUGCGGCGUUCUCGUUUGCCGAGCGGGUGAGUAACACGUGAGUAACCUCCCCUUAUCUGUGUGAUAACUCCUGGGAACUCCGGCUAUUAUCGGGUAUAAUCUCCUGCUGCACGGUGGUCAUUGGAGAGUUUCGGCGGUUCUGGCUGGACUGGCGGCUUAUCAGCUUGUUUGGGUGGUUGUGGCAGACCAAGGUUUUGACGGCUAGCCGGCAUGAGGGGGUGACCGGCCACAGUGGGACUGCGAGACGGCCCAGACGCCUACGGGAGGCAGCAGUGGGGAAUAUUGCAGAAUGGGCGGGAGCCUGAGGCAGCAACGCCGCGAGCGGGAAGAUGGGCUUCGGGUGGUAAACCGAUGUCGAAGGUGACGAAGAGUGAGUGACGGUAAUGGGUAAGGAAGCAACGGCUAACUACGUG
rnacentral:rRNA from 1 species